UUUCUCUACUACUAUAAAAUUCUUAGUUGGCGAUGAUGGUGUGCCUGCCAUCCAUCAGUUUAGACCAUCAGAUCUUCAUCCAACGUACAGGAGGCAACCCACUUCAGCCGGGUGAUUCUCUCCUCCCCUGCUACAGUAUAAAGGUGAAAAGGAAGCGACCGGGAGGCGACUUCAGUUCUUCCGCCGACGAUCUCGUCGCUCCUCUUCGCCUCCGAUGGCCGUCUGACCUCGUGAAGCGUGGGGGGAGCUCCAGCACUCCGCCUGCGUGUAGAUACGGGUUGGUUGGGCGGCGCUCGGAUGGUGGCGCCGCGUCGCGUCCAAUAAAGCGGUCCUGGCUCCUACCCCAUCUCGCCGGCGAUGGCGAGGAGCCUAUGGGCCUGUGUGGUCUGGCGGUUCUGCUGAGGCGGCAGUUACACCAUCGACUCUGUUUGUAGCUAGCUGGACAGAGGAUCUGGUGGCCCUUCUCGCCGGAGGAGAUCCAGAGGCGGUGGAGCGCAGGGUGUGUCCUCCCCGAUCGAUGGCCUUCAUCAGUUUGGUGCCUCCGUUCAUGUUGACUUCUGUUCCGUAUCACAACCCAGAUUCUUGCCAGGCGCUUCUCCUGCUCACAAAUGGAUUCGUCCACGGUCAUCUCGGUGGCGGCGGCCAAAGGCGUGCGGGCUCUCUUUGGGGCCUUCAGGGAUGUGGUUCUGUUCUUCUUUGUUUGGAGGUCCUUUCUUCAAGUUUUCAGCUGGUUCUGGUGUCUUCGCGUGACGGCGUGAGUGUGUACGUGUUUAUUUUUUACUUUUGAGGGGAAAAUGUCAGCGCAUGCCAUGAGCAAGCCAACAAUAACAAAUAUUGGGAGGAGGAGUCCGGCUGCUGGAUGCGCCAUGCGUGUGCUGUUGUAAACUUGUAAUGCGUUGAGAGGAUUCACCAUUGUCUUGCGUGGAGCAGGUUCUAGAGCUAAGGCGAAAGACACAACUUUUGGGACUGGGUCGUGUGCCUGGACUGCAUGUAUUGUAGGUUGUGUUAUAUGCUUUAAGGUACUUGUGUUUUUUUUCAAAUCAUGAAAGUGGUUUAGAAUGUUACA